GCCCCAGUAUCUCUCUCUCUCUCGCUCGCUCGCCCCUCUGCCGUUACUCUCGCCGGCCGAUGCUAUUCCUCUCGCCCCAAUGCGCCGGCUGCGCUCACAUUGCCACUCUCCCUCCCCUCCCUCAGAUUCCUCCGUCUAAACCCUCCUGCCUAAACCCCAUCUCCCCCCCCUCUCUUUUCCCUCCACGGACCACUCGUUUCUCAAACCAAAUGCUCCGUCCUACUGCUACUGUGUUCGUUUUGCAGCUCUAGCUCGAGCUCCAACUCCAACUCCAACUUCCGGCAUUGACGCUCCGAGCUUAUUUGAUUAUCUCUCCCAGUUUUCCCCUCAUUCCGGCAAUGCCCGUUUCCGCAAUUGGAAUUGGAUCGCGUAUAAUCACAGUCGGGUCAUUUUUCUUUUUGCUUUUAACAGUCGGGUUAUCAAAGAUCAUCGAGUGCCAAGGUUACGCCUUGAAGAGAUUUUCCGGCACCUUUUGCCCCUGUUUUUUUGGUAGAGACAAUGAAUCUGUUCGACUGCAGAGAAACUGCAUUUGCGUUCUUUGAGUUGUGUCUCCGGGACCAUCCCGAGGACCCGCCGCUCUGAUUGCUUCGCCGCUUAUGGUUUAGUGGCCGAUAAACUCCGUUUCCUUGCGCAAGAUGCUGUCCUUUGGGUUAUCAGUAGGAUCGGUUUGUCUAGGCUAAGGAAUUCAUGAAAUUCAUGUGAGAGAAGCACUGCCUGUUCGAAUCUGAUUUUUCGGUUCUUGAUACACUCACGAGAGCGUUUCUACAGGCUGGCGUGCUCUCUGAGGCGCUGGAUAUUUUGAGUUGAAUGAGGGGAUAUAAUGGCUGAUUGGAGACGGCAUAGAAUAUUGAUGGUGUCUGAUUUCUUCUACCCCAACUUCGGUGGAGUUGAGAGUCAUAUAUAUUAUCUUUCACAAUGCUUGCUUGAGCUCGGUCACAAGGUAGUGGUUAUGACUCAUGCUUAUGCAAAUCGUUCUGGAGUGAGAUACAUGACUGGUGGCCUGAAAGUCUACUACAUUCCAUGGAAACCAUUCCUCAUGCAGAACACUUUACCGACUUUUUAUGGAACACUUCCAAUCAUAAGGAACAUCCUUAUUCGGGAAAAAAUCUCUCUUGUCCAUGGGCACCAAGCUUUCUCAACCCUUUGCCAUGAAGCACUGAUGCAUGCUCGUACCAUGGGCUAUAAAGUUGUGUUCACAGACCAUUCUCUCUACGGUUUCGCUGACAUUGGAAGCAUACACAUGAAUAAGGUGUUGCAAUUUACUCUCGCUGAUGUGAGCCAGGCAAUUUGUGUUUCCCACACAAGUAAGGAAAACACGGUUCUCAGGUCCAGCCUUCCGCCAGCAAAGGUGUUUGUGAUUCCGAAUGCUGUCGAUACUGCAAUGUUUACGCCUGCUCCUGAGAGAUUGAAGAGUGAUGAAAUAGUGAUUGUUGUGAUAAGCAGACUGGUUUAUAGGAAGGGUGCAGAUUUGCUUGUUGAAGUCAUUCCCGAAGUCUGCCGAUUGUUUCCCCAAGUACGAUUCAUAGUUGGGGGAGAUGGACCCAAACGGGUACGAUUGGAGGAGAUGAGAGAGAAGCAUUCACUUCAAGAUAGAGUCGAGAUGUUGGGAGCUGUUCCUCAUGCUCGUGUGCGCUCUGUGUUGAUUUCUGGCCACAUAUUUUUAAACAGCUCUUUGACUGAAGCGUUCUGCAUAGCUAUACUAGAGGCUGCUAGUUGUGGAUUGUUAACAGUCAGUACACGUGUUGGAGGUGUCCCUGAGGUCCUACCAGAUGAUAUGGUUGUACUUGCGGAACCUGAUCCUGUUGACAUGGUGAGAGCGAUCAAGAAGGCAAUUGCUUUACUCCCAAGGAUUGACCCACAAGAAAUGCAUGCCCGCAUGAAGAAACUCUAUGAUUGGCGUGAUGUUGCUAGAAGGACAGAGAUUGUCUAUGACCGAGCCCUAAAAUGUUCCAAUCAAAAUCUUUUGGACAGGUUAUCACGGUAUCUUUCAUGUGGAUCUUGGGCAGGCAAACUUUUUUGCUUGGUUAUGAUCAUUGAUUUCUUGUUCUGGUGUCUAUUGAAAUUACUACAGCCUGCAGCUGAUAUCGAAGAAGUGCCUGACAUGGUACAAUUCCAUCAUCAAGAUGAAGAGAUUCUGAUGGACGAUUCACAGCAUCAGAGCUCAAGAUGAUUUAAUUGAGUGGGAGCAUCAACUUGGUUUUCCUAUUCUGGACAUAAAGAAUCUACUGUCAUUGUGAACAUCCAAGAGCUGCUUCGGUCAACGCAUCUUUAUGAACUACAAAGGCAAACGAGUCGUUGGUGGAUCAAGAACUAGUCAAACAAAGCAGUCUUUUCCCAAGCCCGGGAGUAUGGCUAGCCAGCAAAGACUAAAAGGCAAACAACUGACAGUACCUUCGGAUUCAUUUCGACUAUACCGUCUAUGAGACCUAAGAUGAUGGCAAGCUAUUGCAAUUCUCUAUUGAGAUCUUCUCCAGAAGCGGAUUUGAGAUCCUGAUUCUGUUCAAUAAUUUUCGAUAUAUAGGUGUCAAGCUUCCAUUCAAAGAGAAUCCGGAGAGGAAUUGACAGAACCACUCGUCCGUCUUGCGAACGUUGCUGAUUUCCAAACACCUGAUACUCCGACUCACAUAAUCGAGAUUCGAGACUUCAAUCACAGACAAGGGACUGAGGCAGAUUACAGAAAGAUCUUCAAGUAAAGGGCAGCCCGUGAGGAGUCGCUGAAACAUCCGAUUGUCUAUGUGAGAACGUGACAAAUGGAGCGAUCGCAGAGAAGGCAGAUGCGCGGAGCUAAUCCCAUCAAUCUUAAUCCCACCGGCCAACGUUAAGGACUCGAUGAAUUCAGCAGAUAAAACCCUUCUGGGAAUCGAAUAUGGCAAUUUAUCAGUAUAGUCAAGGAUCCUUGCCCUCAGCUCCUGAGCAUGAUAGUCUAGCGCCACACCUAACCAUCUAUUGACGUGAAGAGGAGCAAAAUCUAUGUUUGUGGAGAGCCUGAACCUUGGCAUCCUACCAUGGAACCUCGUUAGGCAAUCGUCAACGAACCUGACGAACAUCUCGCUGUACUCAUUCGACUGCUGUCAUUCGAUAAGCUUUUGGUCGAAGUCGGUGAUAUGGAACUAUAGCCACUUCCCUAGCCAUGACUUCAACAACGAAGUGGUCCUCACUAUUUCCUUCGUGUUCGGCAUGAAGGAGAGAAUGUGAUGCUUGACAUGUUCCGGCAAACUCGAGAAUCUAUCAUCAUCUAUGGCCACCCCGGCUCCUCUCCUCGCCUUCUGGCCCAAUGCAGCGUUUCUGUCCCUUCCCUUACUAGACUAGAAAAAAAUAUAUAUGAGACGCAAAAAUUGAUGAUCUGAGGCUGCGGACUUCGGAGCAUUAACUUCCUGUCCUAUUCUUUUUCUUGGUGCCUUAAAUCGGUAGAAUCGUUCACCCAAAGACCAAAAAAAAAAAAGGGAUAGAAUUGUUCAUCCAGCAAAAAAAAAAAAAAGAAAAAGGAAGAAGAAGGUAGAAUUGGUCUGCUGGAGAUGAGAAAAUCUUGCCGUACAUCCAUUUUUUUUUCUUUUUUGGCUGGACCGAUGUCCAUGAUUGAAUAGUGAAAACCUUGCAGGAAUUUUUCUUUAUUGUAUAUUUUUAUUUGUUUUGAACUU